rnacentral:rRNA from 1 species
GAUCCUGGCUCAGGAUGAACGCUGGCGGCGUGCUUAACACAUGCAAGUCGAACGAAGCACUUCAUAAAGUUUACUUUAAGAAGUGACUUAGUGGCGGACGGGUGAGUAACGCGUGGGUAACCUGCCUUACACAGGGGGAUAACAGUUAGAAAUGGCUGCUAAUACCGCAUAAAACAGCAGAGUCGCAUGACUCAACUGUCAAAGAUUUAUCGGUGUAAGAUGGACCCGCAUCUGAUUAG